rnacentral:rRNA from 1 species
CCAUAGCGGGUGACAGUCCCGUAUGCGAAAGUGAUGUUAGAAGACUCGAGUAGGGCGGGACACGUGUAAUCCUGUCUGAACAUGGGGGGACCACCCUCCAAGCCUAAAUACUCGUAUGCGACCGAUAGCGAACUAGUACCGUGAGGGAAAGGUGAAAAGCACCCCGAUGAGGGGAGUGAAACAGUACCUGAAACCGAUUGCCUACAAGCAGUGGGAGCCUCUUUAUGGGGUGACCGCGUACCUCUUGCAUAAUGGGUC